AAGGCUUUAGCUUAAUUAAAGUGUCUGUUUUGCAUACAGAAGCUGCGGGUUAAUGUCCUGCAAGUCUUA
rnacentral:tRNA from 1 species